ensembl:lncRNA
AGGAAGAUCCCCUGUAGUAGGAAAUAGCAACCUACUCCAGUAUUCUUGCCUGGAAAAUCCCAUGGACAGAGGAGCUAGGCGGGUUGCAGUCCAUGGGGUUGCAAAGAGUCGGACACAACCAGGCGACUAAGCAUAACGACAAGGAGUAACUUCAUUUUGGCUUUAGCAUCGCCAUCCGCCAAAUAGCUGUGAAGGAGCUGGGAAUCUUGUAUCUUCUGCCAACAUCCAUGGAAUUGUGACGAGCUAAUUUAUAGAUUCCUUGGUCACUGAAUUUCCUCCCAGAGGCUGCCCAGGAGAGAGUUGUAGUCUCCUGGUGGCCAUAGAGGGCAGAGAGAAGCCGAGGAAAGCAUCCAAUGGUCUCGUAUCUGCCAAGGCUCCAUGGAAACCACGUCUCAGCUCUGGGUGAGCAAACUAAUUUGGCUCUCCUUCCAGGCUUGGCCCUCUUCAUCAAAUGUCUACUUUGCCCAAGAUCACCCUUCAGCCUGAUAACACAGAAUAAGGCCACUGUCUGAUUGUCCCCGAGGCCUUUCAUUCAAAGCCAAGUCCACUGACAUUCUGCCUAACACCUCCCCCAAGGAAGGCCGCAGCUUUCUCUUCACGCCUUUGCAAAACGCAGAGCUCCCUCAUAGUCAAUGGCCUGCUAGAGCCGGGACGUUUCUGUGGGCUUCUCAUCAAUUACUUCUUAUUUUCCAGGUCGGAUACUCCCUCUGGAGCAAAAUUGAAAGCUGAACUGUGCUCAGAGACUCUGCUGGCAGUGAAAACACCAGAGUGCGAAGUGAAAAAUCUAUGAUCUCCCCACCACCUUCUCCGAUGAGUGGGCCUCACCGGCCACAGCAUGGAUUCAUUUGAGUGCUGUCUUCUCUUGGCAUUUUGGGUUGAGUUUUCCAGGACACAAAGGCAUGAGAUGUUCCAGGAUCUCGAUCAUUUUUAUGGCCAGUGGGGAGGUAGAUGAGAAUAAAUAAUUGGAUCCAGUGUCCUGUGGAACAAAUGAAAUGGGAAAAUGCUCACGGUCAAGUUCUGGUUCAAAGUGACUGGCUCUUAGAUACGCAAGAAAUUUGGCCUCCCUUAAAAUACGCAAUGAGGAUGGAGCCUCCAGGAUUGAGUCUUAAAAGUGAGUCUUUCACAGGUUUCAGGAAGCAUUCAGUGCUUCCCAUUACCACCCAGCACUCAAGAGACAGUGUCAUCUAAAAAUCUGAGUUACAAAGUAGGGGCUGAGAUUGGAAAUAAAAUACAUACAUGAGUUAUGCUAUGAUGAGGGGAUUCCUGGGUAAUUUUUUCCUUUUCUCUAUUUUCCUAGGUUCCUGUAUGCCAUUAAAAAAAAGACACAACCCCCUUUCCUUUUUAGAAAGUCAGCCAUGCAAACACCGAGUUAAAAUUUGGGCAUUCAUUCUUGAGGCCUUUCUUCUCCUUAAAUGCCUCAAUCCGUGCAUCCUCUCUUCUCUAUCUCCGCCUUCUGGCCCUUAGCGCAGGCAUUUGGGGCCAUUUCAGUGCUCUUUUGAGCACUGACAUCCUCCCCUACGUGGCUUCCCCAUGACUGGACUCUCUCUUCAUGCAGUCCACCCUCCAACGGCAGUCAGAGCAACUUUCUAAAAUAGAAACCCUGUCACGUCACAUUCCUGCUCAACCUCUUCAAUAGUUUUUCAUUGCCUCCAGGAGACAAUUUAAAUUCCUUUCCAUAACACCCGGGGCUCUUCAGAACGAAACCUGCCAAGCUCUUCCUUGCUCCUUCCCCAGCAGCUCUUCCCCCAACCACUGCUUCUUCAGGCCCCGGGGUCACUCAUUCCAGCCAAAAGCCUUUAUUCCAGCCAUUCCCUUUGCCUGAAAUGCCCCCACCUCCCACCAAUACAGCCUCCCAGGCUCCACAAAGCCCAAGCAUCCUACCCUUGUCCACCCAAGGAAACGCUGCUGGCCAUACACAUGGCCUUGACACUGACCCUGUCCAUGUCACAGCACUGCACACGGGGCUUUGGAGCUGUGCCCCCUGCAUUUGUCUCUCUUACUAGACUGUGGGCUCCAGAAGGGCAGGGACCUGGUUUGAUUUAUUUCUGGAUCCUCAGCACAUGGCUUCUGCAGCGCCCAGAGCAGGGGAG